GCUCAGUUGGUAGAGUACAAAGCUCUUAAGCUUGUGGACGUGGGUUCGAGCCCCAU
rfam:Triticum aestivum genome assembly, contig: Triticum_aestivum_CS42_TGACv1_scaffold_433604_5DL